AAGACAUGCAAGUCGAACGGAGCUUUGAGGGCUUGCUCUCAAAGCUUGUGGCGAACGGGUGCGUAACACGUGAGUAAUCUGCCGAGAAGUGGGGGAUAGCUCGUCGAAAGGCGAAUUAAUACCGCAUAUGGCCAGGGAGGACAUCCUUCCGACGCCAAAGCCGCAAGGCGCUUCUUCAUGAACUCGCGGCCUAUCAGCUUGUUGGUGAGGUAACGGCUCACCAAGGCUAUGACGGGUAGCUGGUCUGAGAGGACGACCAGCCACACUGGAACUGAGACACGGUCCAGACACCUACGGGUGGCAGCAGUCGAGAAUUUUUCACAAUGGGGGAAACCCUGAUGGAGCGACGCCGCGUGGAGGAUGAAGGCGUUUUCGUCGUAAACUCCUGUCAAACGGGAACAAGAAAGUGAUAGUACCGUUAGAGGAAGAGGCGG
rnacentral:rRNA from 1 species